GAUCAUGUUGGGGGGAGGGCACCUUGUGGGAGGUAUUUAGGUUAUAAGGCUGGAGCCCUCAGGAAAAAAAUUAGCACCCUUGAGAUGAGACGCAAGAGAUCUUGUUUCUCUCUCUUUACCAUGUGAAGACACAGCAAAGAGGUAAUCAUCUAUAAAGCAGGAAGACAGUCCCCACCAGAAACAAAAUCAGCUGGCACUUUGAUCUUGGCCCUCCCAGCCCAGAACUAUGAGAAAUAAAUUUAUUUUGUUUAAGCUACCCAGUCGAUGGUGUUUUUGUUGUAACAACUCAAACUAAGACAUUAUUCUUUCAAUAUCAAGAAAAGAGCUGUUUAUUCACACUUCCUUUCCCUGCCUCUUCCCCACAAUCCAUUCUUGCUUUUUCUGUCCAUCUCUGCCAUGGGAGGCUGACCGCUGAGGAGUGUAUUACCUGUGACCCUCUGCCUUCUGAUCUCUGGUUGUGUUUAGCUAGUUAGAGGUACCAGUGGGAAGCAGUAGACAGGAGGUUUGACCGUUCUCUCCUUCCCUCCCUGUGUGGAACCGGUGCUUGUGGUAAUGGCUGCACCUCUCACAAGGUUCUCCGGUCAGCUGACCCCUCUUCCAUGGCUCCAGCUCUCUGUCCCCUCCAGCAGAAGCUGUUGCUAGUCCCUAGGUGACUCAACCCCAGUAGGUUCCUUUAACCUCUGCUAUGUCAGUGCUUCCUUAAAUUACCUUUAGAUUGCCAUCUCACCAGUAUGGACAGCUUCAGUGAACAACUUGUGCAUGACAUGGUAUAACCCUGUGGAGAUCACUUAUUUAUAAAAAGUGUAACAAAGUCAACAUCACGUAACCCAUUCCAAAUAAUGGGAGGCUUACCACAGGUAAAAUACUUAAACGAAACUUAAUAAAAUAGAAGAAUGGUCUAGAUUCUAGAAACUUCUUCCUUGAUUUUCAGAAAGUCUCUCAGUGAAUUUCCUUCAAUUCUCUUCUCUGUGUAAUGUUCGCAAACCACAUGCUUUCCCCCUUCCUGCAGCUUUUGCUCACGCUGUUACCCUAGAUGGAGCAUCCUUCACUUUCCCCUUUAUUCCAAGCUCCACCUGAAGCCCUAUUUCCUUCCUGAAUUUUUGGAGCCCACACCCACCCUUCCUCAGAAUUGCUGGAUCUGUGGUACUCAACAUGGUAGCUGGGAGCCACAUAUGGCUACUUCAAUUUAGGUCAAUUAAAGUUAAGUUAUAAAUUCAGUUUCUUAGUCAUACUAGCCACAUUUCAAGUACUCAAUAGCCACAUGUGGCUGGUGGCUACUGUACUCAACAGUGCAGAUCUAGAACAUUUCCAUUUCAGGAAGUUCUAUUGGACAGGGCUAUUCUAGAGCACUUAAUUAUGUAGGAUUCCAAAGAGCAUUAUAUCACAAAUACCCUUGUACUGUUCUUUAGUUGUAGGGUCAAGAAUACUAGGGAAUAACAAGGAAGAGCCUGUCUUCUUCAUUCUCAGUCCUAGCAGUGCUGGCACACACUUAGAAGCUACCAGGAGCUAUUUUAAGGAUGAGGAAACUCAAGUACUGGCAGUUCCUAACCCCAGUGCCAGGUUAACCCAGGGGACCAAUUGACGCCCAGUACAACUGUUUCUCACUGCAGAAACUGCCAAGCCAUCAUAAUUUUAGCUCGUAUUAUGACGCAGAGAGGAAAACAAAAGGAUGAUUUAUUUGAAGAUUAAAAUUGUGCCUAUUUUAUGGACUCUGUAAGCUGUUGGAAACUCAAUUUUCGAGCCCUUAGUACUCAGGGUUGCCUCCAGAGUAUUUAAGGCAACCAGACAGACAAACAGCCACCACCACCACCAAAACAGAGGAGUUAAAAGCCUGCUUGAAUCACAGGACGGACAAUGGCAGUGCAUGUGAGGGACCCAGUGUCGUAGCACAAGACCUCAGAGCUACUCUUCGCACCCACAGAGAUUUUGCCGCAGCGUGGGUGAUUAAGGACUUCACAUCUGCGGUUGUGCGCCCGCCAGAAAGUCUAAAUCAAAGUUUCCUCGUGUCAGGUGCGCAUCGGCACCCAUUUCCACCCUUUCAAUAAAGCAGAGAAUUGCUUCCA